UACGUAGGGGGCAAGCGUUGUCCGGAAUCAUUGGGCGUAAAGAGCGUGUAGGCGGCCCGAUAAGUCCGCUGUGAAAGUCCAGGGCUCAACCCUGGAAUGCCGGUGGAUACUGUCGGGCUCGAAUCCGGAAGAGGUGAGUGGAAUUCCUGGUGUAGCGGUGAAAUGCGCAGAUAUCAGGAGGAACACCAAUGGCGAAGGCAGCUCACUGGGACGGUAUUGACGCUGAGACGCGAAAAGCGUGGGGGAGCAAACAGG
rnacentral:rRNA from 1 species